rnacentral:lncRNA from 1 species
UUUAGGGCUAGAAUAAAGUAGUGGGUCAGGCUUUUGUAUGGGCUUUAAGAUAUUUAUUGGGCCUCAAGUUUCUAUAGGUCUUUAAAUAGUUAUCAGUGAGUUAGGGUUAGGAUUAUCGUCGUAGUAUGAUUCUGGACAGCUUCUGCUGUAGGCCUCGCAAGAGGAGUUCGGGACAGCGUUCUCGCUGUAGGCCUCGCAAGAGGAGGGUUACUCUUUGAUUUCCUUGUUCAGUUUUUAUUUCAAUUUAUUUCUCUUUCAACUCUCCUGUUUUCGGUUUAUCUCAAACCCUUCACUCUAUCAUAUUGGCUCAUGGUUGUUUGCUAGUUUGUCACCAAGUGAAGUCAACUCAUGUUUUAUGAUGUUAAAACUUGGAAUUUAGAGUGUUUUUUUUUUUUUUUGCAUUUAAUGAUGACUUUUGGUAAAAUAUAAUUUGGUUUAUUGUAUACUUGAUUGAUUAUGAUUUUAUUAUGUUUUCAGGCUCAUUGUUAACCUCAAAGAGUAUUAGAUUUGAUUUAAAUAAAAAGUUGAGAUACCUAAAACAAGUUCAGUGCACCGAAAAACCAAUAAACCGAACUUCAAAAUUCGGUUAUGGCUUGUGCAGUUUCAAGAUGGAAGUUCGGUUGGUUCAGUUUUUGGUCACAAAAUUUUGGUUUUUCACCCCUAACUGGAAUGCCUGAAGACUUUCCUAGCUUCUACAGUACUUAUUGUUUAGUAAAGGAUACAGAGUCAUUACUUUAGUACAACUAACUAAGGAAUGCAUCUAGCACAUCUAACUGAUCUUAAACUAUUUGAUUUCAUAAUAUAGUGUGUUAAAUAUCUCUUUCCUUGCAAGUAUAAGAAGAUAAAAGGUGAGUAAGAAUUAUUGGAGACCAACUGUUGUUACAUAUUUGGUUCUUUCUCGACCUCUACACAUAUAGUGGCACGCCAUUGUGACUCCCCAUUCUCCAAAGGAAAAAAAAGCCGAAGAACAUAGAGAAUCAUUCCCCAAUUUAGCACUUGAAACAGGUAGAACAUCAAGUGACAUUAACCUAAAGUGGACAAUAUAAACAGUCACAUUUAAAUAAAAAUAUAUGGAUUCAGAUAAACGCCCAUCAUAUGUUUUGAAUUCAAUUUUUAAUGAUUUAGCAUGUCCAUCCUGCAUAAUGUUUUGCUAUUUGUUCCAGUAAGUGGUAUUAUAAAUAACUAAAACUGAUAUACAUUAAAAAAACACAUAAAUCAGCAUCUCAUAGUGAAGUAUUGCAAGGUAAAAGAGAGUAUGGUAUUUGAAUUAUCUAAAAGGAAUGAAAAAGAGCAUGUGCCCUUCUUCAAAUUUUAUGUCUUUAAAAUAAGAGCAGAGUCAAAACAGAAAUAGUGCAGGCAAUAAGACAAUGGCCUUUCAGAAACUGAAUGACAUCAAAAAAGAAAUAGUGCAGGCAAUAAGAUAAUGGCCUUUCAGAAACUGAAUGACGUAGAGAGCAGUGGGCUUGCAGUAAUUCAAGUUAGAUGCUUUCAGCAAACACUUGAACCCACUGAGAUAUUUUAUACGACGGGAGUAUCAUAAAAACAGAUUGGAUGUAGAGCCAGUUCUCAUGAGAACCAUCAGUUCAACGUUUUAAUAUACAAUAAUAAAAAGCAUAUGCUAAACAGUUAUUCAUAAAGCAUAUUGGUUUUCUCUCAAAAAAUAAAGCAUAUUGGUUAUCUAUUUAUCUAUGUUCUCCAGUAUGUUUAUUUAAGAAAUGGCUUCUUUUUAGCAUUGACAGCCAGCACAAGAUCAUCAGUUCAUCACUUACCAACUGGUCAAACAUGAAGCAUAGAUUCUUGUAUGUUACACAGUUUCCACUAGCAUCAUUAAGUGUUUGCAACGAUUAAGAUGAGGGGAUUUAAAAGAGCUGUCAAUUCCAACCCCAUAUGUCUAUAAUGUUACUUCUAACAAAGAUUCCUCCAGCCAUAGCCUACCCAACUAGCAAUCCUUUCCAAAAGUGAUAGACAUAAACAAAGUUUCUAUGAACAAGCACAUCGUUCACAAAACUUUGUAUUUAGGUCCCUAUAACUCUAUCAACUCUCUUGGCAUACCUAAUCUUUUCAAACAAUUUAAUGACCAUUUUGCACAGUUACUCUGGCAUGUUCUAGUGCAACUUUAUUCUUCUAAAGAUCAUAGAACUCAUCAUUCAACCACGACCACAUCUCAAGCCCCUUCCCACUUGGCAACCCGCACACCAAAUUUACUUCCUUUCACACAAAAAGGCUGCUCAAUAUCCAUGUACUACUGGCUAAAUUGGGCAAGAUGGUAGCUCUUUUCAACCAUAAAAAGUCAUUCUCUAGCGACUAAAGAUAGAAAUAAAUAAAAUUGAGCAUCUUCAUCUUACUUUCACCCAAUCUAAAUAUUCCAACCAAGUAUUCAAAUCUGAUAAUAGCCUGUCCAGUGGUUCCAUACAUAGAGUGCUAAACUUAGGAAUGAAUAAAAUAGAAUACCUUGAUCCUAUUUUUUUUUCUUACCCAACCUAUACGUUUACAAAGGGCAUUAUCAAAUCUAAGCAUAGCCUACUGUUCAAUACUAUACGAAGAUAUAUAAAAUGCAUGCUCCUAAAUUCCCACAAAU